GAAAGAGAAAGAGAAAGAGAAAGAAGAAGAAGGAAUGUAUGAAGAUAUUUAUGGUUGUUGUUAUUUCCCUUCUGGUGAUUUUAUGGAUCAGCCUUUUUCUUGUUUUCUUGUUGGAUAUAUUUCAUCACCAACAACAGAAUGGAAAA
rnacentral:ribozyme from 13 species